rnacentral:rRNA from 1 species
CCUACGGGAGGCAGCAGUAGGGAAUCUUCCACAAUGGGCGAAAGCCUGAUGCAGCAACGCCGCGUGGGUGAAGAAGGUCUUCGGAUCGUAAAACCCUGUUGUUAGAGAAGCAAGUGCGUGAGAGUAACUGUUCACGUUUCGACGGUAUCUAACCAGAAAGCCAUGGCUAACUACGUGCCAGCAGCCGCGGUAAUACGUAGGUGGCAAGCGUUAUCCGGAUUUAUUGGGCUUAAAGGGAACGCAGGCGGUCUUUUAAGUCUGAUGUGAAAGACUUCGGCUUAACCGGAGUAGUGCAUUGGAAACUGGGGGACUUGAGUGCAGAAGAGGAGAGUGGAACUCGAGGUGUAGCGGUGAAAUGCGUAGAUAUAUGGAAGAACACCAGUGGCGAAAGCGGCUCUCUGGUCUGUAACUGACGCUGAGGUUCGAAAGCGUGGGUAGCAAACAGGAUUAGAUACCCGUGUAGUC